GACGAACGCUGGCGGCGUGCCUAAUACAUGCAAGUAGAACGCUGAAGGAGGAGCUUGCUCUUCUGGAUGAGUUGCGAACGGGUGAGUAACGCGUAGGUAACCUGCCUGGUAGCGGGGGAUAACUAUUGGAAACGAUAGCUAAUACCGCAUAACAGUAGAUGUUGCAUGACAUUUGCUUAAAAGGUGCAAUUGCACCACUACCAGAUGGACCUGCGUUGUAUUAGCUAGUUGGUGGGGUAACGGCUCACCAAGGCGACGAUACAUAGCCGACCUGAGAGGGUGAUCGGCCACACUGGGACUGAGACACGGCCCAGACUCCUACGGGAGGCAGCAGUAGGGAAUCUUCGGCAAUGGACGGAAGUCUGACCGAGCAACGCCGCGUGAGUGAAGAAGGUUUUCGGAUCGGAAAGCUCUGUUGUAAGAGAAGAACGAGUGUGAGAGUGGAAAGUUCACACUGUGACGGUAUCUUACCAGAAAGGGACGGCUAACUACGUG
rnacentral:rRNA from 1 species